rnacentral:lncRNA from 11 species
CGGAGCCAAUGAAUCAGCUGAGAGCCAGCCGGAAGCCCGGGCAAAAGAGUCGCGCGCGCUGCCCGCGAGCCUCACUGGCCUCAGCGCGCGAGGAAGCAGCAGUAGGACGACUUUCCUUCGCCACCUUAGUUGGCUUCCAUGCAGAGAAAGGUUCCCGGUGGAAAACUGGAGGCGGCACUUGGCCUUUUGCAGACUGUGUAGAACAGACAUGGAUUAUGCAUCAGAGAGGCCUAUGAAUCUAGCCUAGAACUGACAUGGAAAGGCUGGUGUAUUUUGCCUCACUGAAACUGAAGAAAGGAAUGUGGAAGAAAUUAUGGGGGAAAAUGAAUUAAACAGACUCUGCUGGAUUAGUUCACUACUUAAUUACAUUUUCAAGGUUCCCCCUUACCAGCAGUCCUCUGUCCCAGAUGCAACUGACACAAAAUGAGCUCUCAGUGAUGCAUUUAGUUCCUUCAAUCAUGUGGGAUUGUGUCAUGGUGGGGUUUUUUUUUCUAUUUUGGUUUGGAAUAAUUAGUCAUGUUUUUGUAUUGCAAAUGAACAGCCCAAAAUCUGCCGCCUGGAAAACUUAGUAAACAGCAACAAGUGUCACACUUGCAAGUUUCCGUCCCCUCUGUUGCCUGCAACUUAAUGCAAUAAUGCAUUUUCCAGAAGUAUAUUAUGCUGGUGUAGAUGUAGAAAUGACUAUUUUGAAGACAGUGUAUUGUCUUCAAUUUCAGACCAAAUCUGAAAAUCUAAGUAAAACAACCUUAUAUAACCCUGAAAAAGUGUCUAUUCCCCACUGAACCUUUAGCUGAAAAAUCUAGUUAUGUGUUGUGGUCUGUUUGACAAUAUCUACCUCUUUCUUUCUGCACUGAAAUAUACUGACUGUUAUUGAAAGGUCUCCUAUCAAACUAAUUAUUUGCUUUUCAUCAUCAUUUAAUAGCCAGGUCCUUUUACUGUAAGGACCCUUGCCUCAUCGCUCCUUGUAUCAACUUAUCUUUCCUGUGUUUCUGUUUUGUCUUCAUUCUUUCAACUUACAUUUUCAGGUUAUAAUCCAGAGCUUUGAAAGUUCAUUUUAAAAAUAAUUAGUAGUUAUUUAGUCCCCGCAUCAAGUAAUUAGUUGAGAAUCUCCAGAUGUCUGUCUAUUGUAUACCAUUCACUGUAUUAAAAGGCAUUGAAUUUUUGCCUUAUAUGUGUACUGUAAUCCACUCUGUGUCCCUCCGGGGAGAUAUAAAUAAAGUGCAUUAUUAUUAUUAUUAUAGUUACAAUUUUUACUGUUCUGCUUUUCUAUUUCUCUACAGUAACUAAACAGUUACUCCUUCAUUCCUUGUUUUAAAGAUCGGAGUAUUACAAGCCUGCGGUACAACACCUGCAUUGGCACAAAAUCUUCCAUCCACCUCACCAUCAUUUCAAGAUCCUUAAUAAACACGAAAUAGAAUAAAUCAUAUUAUACUGCUCCUCCAUCAUUUGGAAAAUCCUUGGCCUUUGUACAUAAA